rnacentral:misc_RNA from 1 species
GAUGAAGAACGUAGCGAAAUGCGAUAAGUAAUGUGAAUUGCAGAGUUCAGUGAAUCAUCGAAUCUUUGAACGCACAUUGCGCCCGUUAGUAUUCUGGCGGGCAUGCCUGUCUGAGCGUCAUUUCAACCCUCAUGCCCCUAGGGCGUGGUGUUGGGGAUCGGCCAAAGCCCGCGAGGGACGGCCGGCCCCUAAAUCUAGUGGCGGACCCGUCGUGGCCUCCUCUGCGAAGUAGUGAUAUUCCGCAUCGGAGAGCGAUGAGCCCCUGCCGUUAAACCCCCAACUUUCCAAGGUUGACCUCAGAUCAGGUAGGAAUACCCGCUGAACUUAAGCAUAUCAAUAAGCGGAGGA